UACGUAGGUGGUUCCUAGUGAUUUGGCCGAAAGAGCGGAGUGUUCCUGUGCGACGGCCUUUGAAAAAGGGGACUUGUGUUGGUGAGAGGUAGGGGCAAAUUCUUAUGUAGGGGUAGAAUCCCGCCAUAUGAGAAUGAACGACAGCUGGCGAAGGCGCCUUUCCCGCUCCAACAGACGCUAAGGUACGGAAGCUUAGGUAGCAAACG
rnacentral:rRNA from 1 species